rnacentral:rRNA from 1 species
GACGAACGCUGGCGGCGUGCUUAACACAUGCAAGUCGAACGAGUGGCGAACGGGUGUGUAAUACGUGAGUAACCUGCCCUCUUUUUGGGAUAAGCUACGGAAACGGGGUCUAAUACCGAAUAAAGGGGGAUGGGCUCGCGGCCUAUCAGCUUGUUGGGGGGGUGAUGGCCUACCAAGGCGGUGACGGGUAGCCGGCCUGAAGGGGUGACCGGCCACAUUGGAACUGGGAUACAGCCCAGACUCCUACGGAAGGGAGGAGUAGUGGAUAUUGCACGAUGGGCGGAAGCCUGAUGCAGCGGCGCCGGAUGGGGGCUGAAGGCUUUCAGGUUGUAAUCAUCUUUCGCGAUCGAAUGGGUAGGUGGAGAAGAAGCGCCGGCUAACUACGUGCCAGCAGCCGCGGUAAUAC